UGCGUAGUUAAUGCACCCAUCAGACAAGGAUAAUUCCGGGAAACUGGUUGUAAUACUUGAUGAGACCCCAGGCACCACGGUGCUGGUGGUCAAAGGGGCGGGACCUUCCGAGGCCGCCCGCUGAUGGCGCGGACUACGUCUGAUUAGUUUGUUGGUGGGGUAACGGCCUACCAAGACGGUGAUCAGUAGCCGGCCUGAGAGGGUGUUCGGCCACACUGGGACUGAGACACUGCCCAG
rnacentral:rRNA from 1 species